UCAGCACAAUAGUUUCUUUCGUCGUUUUCUUCAUCCCUAGCAUUCAUCGAUUCAGGCAACUGAUUUAGAGAGAAAUCUCGAUUCAUAUUGAUUUAUCGAAAAUUGGCUAAAUUUAUCGAUGGUGAUGUUCUAGAGCCAGCCUCAAGAAGGCUUCAAGGAGUUCAUCUGUGUUUGGAACUGGUCUUACGGAUAUAUCUUUGACGUUUUAGUCCUAAUGAAUCGUUUCUAUGAAGUCACCCAAUUGCUUGACGAAAUGCCUAAAGGGAACAAGAGUUUUGUUUUUUUUACCUGUAUUCCAAUUAAAGCUUUAGGUAUAUAGUGGUGUAGAUAAAUUUGUGUAUUUUGGGGCUUUUUUGGGUAUUCAUUAUGAUCUUCAAACUCUCCUUACUUGCAAGUAUUUGUUUAUUCAAAGCUUAGGAGUUAGUGACUAUCGGUACUUUAUGAAUUUAUUUAAACCUGCAAGAAUGUGUAGUUUCAUAGUGCUUGUUGGUUUUUAACAAAUUCAUAAGUUUUAUAAAUGCCUAUACUUUAUGAAAUCAAUUUUUAGUAUAUGUGUUAUGCUCACUCACGUUGUGAAAUUGUCAAUUUGUCUGUUUGUUUUAUUAUCAAUUACCAAAUUUUGUUUCUAAUUUGCAAUUUGUCUAUUUUACUUCUAAUGUGAAACAAAUUGACGGCUUGACAGAGUUGACUAGAUACUAAGUUGUGAGAAAACAAGGAGGUUGUGGUUUGGAGGACAUGCAUUAUAAGUUUCCUCACAUAUAUUCUUAUGUGCAUAAUUGUUGCAACGGUUUUGAAAUUGCUAUGAUUAUUAUUAUGUUUUAUAAUUUUUUAAUAUUAGUUUACUUUGUCAACUAUGUUUCAUGUUGCAAAACAAGUACAUUGCCUAUUUUGAUAGAAUACGGAAAGUACAUUCACAUUUCAUGCAAAAAGGUAAUGAGUUAUCUAUGUGAUGAGAUAAUUUUUCAACUAUUUUAUAAUCAAAAUCAUAUUUUAUUUUUAUUUUUAUAACCAUAUUUCAGUUUGUUACCAACUUUCUAUCGAGUUUUGGACCAAAUCCAGAACAAUAUUCGGAAGAAUAACAGUAAAAUAUUGGCAAGUUUUUCCAAGAAAUAGCAAUGUACAUUCAUAUCUGGGCAAAACAGCUUCCAGAUAAGACAUGUUACUAUGUUUACUCAAUUACAUACAAUGGCAUAGAAAGAUCUAAAAUUAAGAUGUUUGAAUACAUGUAAAUGAAACAAUGUUGUCAUUUCUUGCAUUUAACUUUAUAUUUGAAAGUUUA